rnacentral:rRNA from 1 species
UACGGAGGGGGCUAGCGUUGUUCGGAAUUACUGGGCGUAAAGCGCACGUAGGCGGCUUUGUAAGUUAGAGGUGAAAGCCCGGAGCUCAACUCCGGAAUAGCCUUUAAGACUGCAUCGCUAGAACGUUGGAGAGGUAAGUGGAAUUCCGAGUGUAGAGGUGAAAUUCGUAGAUAUUCGGAAGAACACCAGUGGCGAAGGCGACUUACUGGACAACUGUUGACGCUGAGGAGCGAAAGCGUGGGUAGCAAACAGG